ACCUGGCUGGCUUAGUCACUAGAGCGUGUGACUCUUCAUCUCGGGGUUGUGGGUUCGAACCCCACGUUGAGUG
rnacentral:tRNA from 1 species